rnacentral:rRNA from 1 species
GAUGAACGCUGGCGGCGUGCCUAAUACAUGCAAGUCGAGCGAACAGACGAGGAGCUUGCUCCUCUGACGUUAGCGGCGGACGGGUGAGUAACACGUGGAUAACCUACCUAUAAGACUGGGAUAACUUCGGGAAACCGGAGCUAAUACCGGAUACUAUAUUGAACCGCAUGGUUCAAUAGUGAAAGACGGUUUUGCUGUCACUUAUAGAUGGAUCCGCGCCGCAUUAGCUAGUUGGUAAGGUAACGGCUUACCAAAGCGACGAUGCGUAGCCGACCUGAGAGGGUGAUCGGCCACACUGGAACUGAGACACGGUCCAGACUCCGACGGGAGGCAGCAGUAGGGAAUCUUCCGCAAUGGGCGAAAGCUUGACGGAGCAACGCCGCGUGAGUGAUGAAGGUCUUCGGAUCGUAAAACUCUGUUAUUAGGGAAGAACAAAUGUGUAAGUAACUAUGCACGUCUUGACGGUACCUAAUCAGAAAGCCACGGCUAACUACGUG